CAGUCGCCGCGGUAAUACGUAGGUGGCAAGCGUUGUCCGGAAUUAUUGGGCGUAAAGGGCUCGCAGGCGGCUUCUUAAGUCUGAUGUGAAAGCCCCCGGCUCAACCGGGGAGGGUCAUUGGAGACUGGGAAACUUGAGUGCAGAAGAGGAGAGUGGAAUUCCACGUGUAGCGGUGAAAUGCGUAGAGAUGUGGAGGAACACCAGUGGCGAAGGCGACUCUCUGGUCUGUAACUGACGCUGAGGAGCGAAAGCGUGGGGAGCGAACAGGAUUAGAUACCCCUGUAGUCCCUGUCUCUUAUAC
rnacentral:rRNA from 1 species